rnacentral:rRNA from 1 species
UACCCGCAGCUCAAGUGGUGGUCAUUAUUAUUGGGCCUAAAGCGUCCGUAGCUGGCUUGUUAGAUGCCUGGGUAAAUCGAUGCGCUUAACGUAUCGAAUUCCGGGUAGACCGGCAAGCUCGAGACCGGGAGAGGCGUGAGCUACUCAAGGGGUAGGGGUAAAAUCCUGUAAUCCUUUGGGGAGGACCAGUGGCGAAGGCGUCACGCUAGAACGGCUCUGACAGUGAGGGACGAAGCCCUGGGGCGCAAACCGG